GCCCCAAUGGUGUAACGGCAGCAUGCACGUUUCGUCAUUCGUGAGGUGCCGGUUCGAUCCCGGCUUGGGGCU
rnacentral:tRNA from 1 species